GCCCCUGUAGCUUAAUGGAUAGAGUCCCGGUCUUCGGAACCGGUUGUGAAGGUUCGAUUCCUUCCAGGGGCACCA
rnacentral:tRNA from 1 species